GUGAACGGAAUUGCGAAGAGCAGCAUAAGCAGAGCAAUGGUCUACACCAACCUGUUAUCGGCCUUGCCGUCGACGCUCUGCAUCUAGACUUAGUUAAACUCUGAUAGUUCCGACUGGAGCUUCAGGGUGAUUCCGGAGUUCGACGCGGCACCGGAGGUGAAAAGAGAGCUUCAGGCAAGAUCUGGAGUUCGAGGCCGCCCCGCCGGUGGAGAGAGAGAGCUUCAGGCGUGAUCCGGAGUUCGACGCCGCACCGCCGCACCGGAGAGAGAGAGCUUCAGGCAUGAUCUGGAGUUCGACGCCGCACCGGAGAGAGAAAGCGCUAAUCCUAAUUUCGACGCCGCACAGGAGGUGCGG
rnacentral:lncRNA from 1 species